UAGGCUCAAUCAUUGCUCUGUGGAUUUGC
rnacentral:piRNA from 1 species